AUGGGGGGUUUUGCUCAUGCACAGAGGGUUCCCCGCGCUCCCAACCUCUUCCCGCUGGUUUCCUGCGGGACGCCCGCCACCCAGGACCUCUACUCGGUGGGUUGCGUUGCGGUGGGCUUCCUCCCCGACGAUCUCACCUUCCGCUGGAGCACCUACGCCAACGAAAGCGUCACCAAGGGGGUGACAGUUUUCCCGUCCGUCCUCACCGCCGGGCGUUACACGGCUUCCAGCCGCCUCAGCCUUCCCUUCUCGGACGGCAAAACCCAGCAGCCGUUCUACUGCCGAGCCACCCAUCCCAAGGCGAGCCGCUCCGUGGAGGUGUCCAACCCCGGUCCCAACACCGUGACCUCCGCCAUCACCAUCCACCCGCCAUCCCGCGAGGAUUUCGAAGGUCCCUACCGAAAUUCCAGCAUCCUUUGCCAAAUCCGCGGACCCCGGCAGCUGCCCGCCGCCGUCCGGUGGCUGAAAAACGGCGUUUUGCUAAAAGACGGCGUCGCCACCGAAGGUUCGGUGGCCGACAGCAAAAGGGCUUACAUCACCAACAGCUGGGCAACCGUUACCGAAGCCGAAUGGGACGCCGGCACCGUCUUCACUUGCCAAGUGGACGAAGACGUGAGGAACACCAGCAAAGCUCUGGAAUGCGGCUAUGACCACGGCAACAACAACGAGGAGAUCACGGUGCAGGUCGUCCCGCCCGUCUUCGCCGAUAUCUUCAAGGAUAAAGUGGCCAAGUUGACGUGCAAGGUGACCAACCUACCGGGCGUGGAAGGGUUGGUCAUCUCUUGGUGGAAGGAGAACGGCGGGAAGUUGGACACCAAGAUGUUGCCUCAAGUCUUGCAACCCAACGGGUUCUUCGGCGUCGACGGCACGGCCACCGUCUACGCCGACGAGUGGGAUAAAGGCGAGAUCUACACCUGCAAGGUCAGCCACCCCGAGCUCCUCUUCCCCGCCGAAGUCAAGUUGCAGAAGACGCCCAGCCGCAACGCCAAAGCCCCCUCCAUCUACAUCUUCUCCCCCCCGUCCGAACAACUCACCAUGCAGGAAUCCGCCACCAUCACUUGCUUGGUGAAAGGCUUCAACCCUCCGGAUCUUUUCGUCCGUUGGCUCCGCAACGGCGAACCUUUACCCACCGGCGAUUACAUCACCAUGCCGCCCGUCGCCGAAUCGCAGCCGGCCGUCUCUUACUUCACCUACAGUUCCUUGACGGUCAGCGGCGAGGAUUGGCGAGCCGGCAACAUCUUCACUUGCUUGGUCGGCCAUGAGCAAAUCCCUCUGCAGGUGGCGCAGAAAUCGGUGGAUAAAGCUUCGGCCUUCCUCGACGGCUUCACGGAAGCGGAGGAGGACGACCUCAACAACCUCUGGGCGACGGCCUCGACCUUCAUCGUCCUCUUCAUCCUCAGCCUCUUCUACAGCGCCACGGUCACCUUGAUCAAGGUGAAAUAAUCCAGCUCCCGAUGCAUUUCUCCACCCGAAACCGCCGCCUCAUCCCCUCCACCGCCGGAUAUUGCUGGAAUUUUUCGGGAUUCUCCAACCCCACUUGUAUUCCCCCCCUCCCCCUUGUAAAUAUUCUCCAUCCUGAAAAUAAAAUUUUCCAAUUUUC